rnacentral:lncRNA from 1 species
UUUUUCGAUCAAAAAUGUAGGAGAGUUCAACUCAAACACGUCUGCCUGCCCACAUCAAAACGACACCAUCUUCACCGUCGUACACCAAGUCUCCACCACUUAAAACCUACCAAGAUAAAAAUCAAACAAAAAACCCACCCCAAUUAAUUUCUUCUUUGUUACACCAAGCUCCAAGCUCCAGCCAUGGCCGCCAUCUCACUCUCUCUCUCUCCAAACCCUAGCUUCACGACCACCACCACCCACAAGCCUUCCCACGCCCUCUCUACCCCCACCUUUCUCAAAUUCCCAACCGUAUCCCCAUCCACCAUCAAAUCCCUUACCUACGCGCCCCUACCCCAAACCCCAACCCCACGCGCCACCUUCUCCACACGCGCCGCCGCAUCCCCAACCCCAUCCACCACAUUCCACGGCCUCUGCUAUGUCCUCGACGAUAACAUCGACACCGAUCAGAUCAUCCCCGCCGAGUACCUGACCCUAGUCCCCUCCAACCCCUCUGAGUAUGAGAAGCUCGGAUCCUACGCGCUCUGCGGUCUCCCGGACGCCCACUCCACGCGCUUCGUGGACCCGGGCAAGACCAAGUCCAAGUACUCGAUCAUAAUCGCGGGCGCGAACUUUGGGUGCGGGUCAUCGCGCGAGCACGCG